rnacentral:rRNA from 1 species
UACGGGGGGGGCAAGCGUUGUUCGGAAUUACUGGGCGUAAAGGGCGCGUAGGCGGCUUUUCAAGUCGGGCGUGAAAUCUCCGGGCUUAACCCGGAAGGGUCGUUCGAUACUGUUGAGCUAGAGUGUGGAAGAGGCAACUAGAAUUCCGUGUGUAGCGGUGAAAUGCGUAGAUAUCUGGAGGAACACCGGUGGCGAAGGCGGCAUCCUGGACCGGUAUUGACGCUGAGGCGCGAAAGCCAGGGGAGCAAACGGG